UGUGCUUAAUGUGGAAAUGAACAGAUUUUAUUUUUAUUUAUUCCUACAGCUUCUGCAGAUAAAAUUCCACAAUCUGGAGAAUUUAGUCUCACAAUCACAGACAAUAAAUAUUACCUGAAAGUCGGGUUAUUGUUGUUUAUCAGCACAUGUUAGACAUAUUCCAGUUAAGAUUCUAGAAUAUCAUGAUUUAUGUAAAUUUACCUCAAUGAUAUGAAUGUUCAGGUUAAGAUUGUGCAGUGAUAUUUAUUAUGCAAGUUUAGCUCAUUAAAGUUUAUGACUCUGCACUACAAUAUUAUUUAUUAUUUAAAUUUACAUCAUUAUAAUAUUUAGGGUCAGACCCUACAGUAUUGAGAUUAAGAAAUCAAAUAUUCUAUAAAAUGUAAAGACGCUGAACUAAUUUGGAUAUAUUUAAGUGAGACUCUACAAUAUUAUUUGAUACAAAUCUAUCUAAAUCAAAAUUUUAAUCAUUUUUACUCCAAAAAUUUACUGGACUGAUUUAAAUAUUAAAAUCACUCCUUUCUAAUCCUCUGCUGUACGUUCAAACCUGAGGCCUUAAAUAGAAACACAAGUAUCUGAUUGAAGGAACUUCUGCAGAGUCCUGGUUCCAGAACAUGAUGAUAGAAUUAUAGACAAACUUUAACAAAAGCUGCCUGAGAGUUUACAUGUUUUAUGUUGGAUUUCUUCAGUAAUUUAAUGAGAGUUAUCAGCAAUAAUCAAGUGUUCAUUUGAUGAACUUAAUUUCCUAAAACAUCCAGAAUUGGAGCUCAUAUCUUUGGCAGCUGUAAAGUUUCUGCUGCUUCAAAGUUCACAACACAAUGAAUGAAUUCCUAAAACACUCUCAAUGCUGGAGAGCGUUUGUGAUGCUGAACCAGUGACCAGUUUUUCAGUUUCUUCUCUGGAGAUGCACAAUGAGGGACGUCUGCAGAGACUGAGAAAGAGUCUCACCACAUCCUGACGUGAGGAAAAAGACUUUAUUGAAGACUACAAUGAGAAAAACUAUCAGACAGCAGACGGCUGCAUUCAAGAGCGGAAGACCAUCAAACAUCCACGUCAGCUGAUGGAGGUCCAAGAGUCUCACCCAACAAACAACCUACAGAGUGAAGACCUCCAAUCUGAUUGGACGGCCUCCUAUUCAGCCACGUGUGAACAAAUGCCUCUAAGCUGAUUUGUUUUCUAAAAUAAAUCUAGUUUGAGUCCUAA